UACGUAGGGUGCGAGCGUUAAUCGGAAUUACUGGGCGUAAAGCGUGCGCAGGCGGUUCGUUGUGUCGGCGGUGAAAGCCCCGGGCUCAACCUGGGAAUGGCCGUUGAAACUGGCGAACUGGAGUGUGGCAGAGGGGGGUGGAAUUCCGCGUGUAGCAGUGAAAUGCGUAGAGAUGCGGAGGAACACCGAUGGCGAAGGCAGCCCCCUGGACUGACACUGACGCUCAGGCACGAAAGCGUGGGGAGCAAACAGG
rnacentral:rRNA from 1 species